rnacentral:rRNA from 1 species
ACGAAGGGUGCAAGCGUUACUCGGAAUUACUGGGCGUAAAGCGUGCGUAGGUGGUUGUUUAAGUCUGUCGUGAAAGCCCUGGGCUCAACCUGGGAAUUGCGAUGGAUACUGGGCGACUAGAGUGUGGUAGAGGGUGGCGGAAUUCCCGGUGUAGCAGUGAAAUGCGUAGAGAUCGGGAGGAACACCAGUGGCGAAAGCGGCUUCCUGGUCCAGCACCGACGUUCAGGCACGAAAGCGUGGGGAGCAAACAGGA